UUGCGUGUUGUUACUUACCAAUUUGUGUGAAAAGUUUUAAUAAAUGUAUCUCAUGAACCGUAAGUUUGCGCAACCUAAAUCUUUGCAAAACUCUUUCUUUUAUGUUAAAGUUUGGGCUAAAUUGUUUUCCUAAUGGUGAUGGGACAUCCAUUGAAUCAUUAAAAACAGUGAAUGCCCAGCAUAGGAUACUAUGUGAAAAUCAUUUGAAUGAAUCUUCAUUUACCAGCAGCGAUAGGAAAAGACUUAACAAGUUAGAUUAAGAGUGAAUAGAGGAGGAUAUAGACCAAUUAAAAAACAAACAUUGUAGUCCAUAUAGAGCAAGUUAUGACAUCCAAGAACCAUCAACUAGCAAAGGUAUUUUGUAGGACUUGGACGUGAAAAAGUUCAGUGAACUUACACCUCAAAAGCAAACGCUGUCUAAGAGAUGCAGAAAAAAUCUAUCUGAAAUAGUGAGGCUCUGAAAAAAGUUUCAAGGUUAUUUUGUCAGCUCUCUCAAGGCAUUAUUGAACAAAAUUCCAAUGGUAUGUGGAAUCAACAGCCCAGUAAUACAGACAGUAAAAGAAAUCACAAAAGACCAAGAUGUCAAUGAUAAUUUAUGUAAAAUGGCUUUUGAUGAAAUGUCAAUAAGAAAAAAUCUGACAUAUAACGUAAAACUCAAUGCUAAGGCCGUACUAGUGUGAUAGCAAACCAUAGUCGAACUUUCAUGGUUAUCGGUGUUCGAAAAUGCUGGAAACAGCCAAUAGCAUUUUACUUCUCAGGAGAUUGUGACACAGCAGACAAGUCAGCAGCUCUUGUCGAGGAGGUACAGUAAAGUGGAGCCACAUAGAGGAGUUUUAUAAUAAAGAUCGCGAGAAUCCCAACCGUGUUUGCUCCAGCUUUAACCCAGCACCACUUACAACCAGUACAGAAUGGCAAACAGAAAAUCAAAGAGCGCCUAGCAGAUCAAAUUUUAAGCCAUUCGGUUGCAGUUGGAAUAUUUGCCAAAAUGAAUGAUGACAAGACGCCCCUGGAACAACUGUCGCUGGACAAGCUUUUCGACUGAACGGAGAUUCGACCGACAGGAAAGAGGUAUAAACACUUAUUAUAAUAAUACUUGACAUCUGUAAUUGUGGAUGUGAUCCAAACCCCACGUCGGUCCAAUUAAAAACUAGCUUAGGCAAUUAGUAGCAGCGUUUUUAAUACGCUGAAAUUAUUAUUCUUCGAAGACACUAAACCUAGCUGCGCAACUGAAUAUCCCUGUAACAGCCAGAUGGAACCUCCAACCUCCCAGGGAAAUUAAGUGGCAUCGCCGACUCAGCUACGCCUACGUCUGGCUAUGCUCUCGGGGUGUAACUCCCAUGAU